UCUCCUGGAAACGGGUGGUAAUGCCGGAUGCUCCGACUCCUCGCAUGGGGUGUCGGGAAAGAUUUCAUCGGUAUGGGAUGGGGUCGCGUCCUAUCAGGUAGUCGGCGGGGUAACGGCCCACCGAGCCUACGACGGGUAGCCGGCCUGAGAGGGCGACCGGCCACAUUGGGACUGAGAUACGGCCCAGACUCCUACGGGAGGCAGCAGUGGGGAAUAUUGCACAAUGGGCGCAAGCCUGAUGCAGCGACGCCGCGUGCGGGAUGACGGCCUUCGGGUUGUAAACCGCUUUUGAUCGGGAGCAAGCCUUCGGGUGAGUGUACCUUUCGAAUAAGCACCGGCUAACUACGUGCCAGCAGCCGCGGUAAUACGUAGGGUGCAAGCGUUAUCCGGAAUUAUUGGGCGUAAAGGGCUCGUAGGCGGUUCGUCGCGUCCGGUGUGAAAGUCCAUCGCUUAACGGUGGAUCUGCGCCGGGUACGGGCGGGCUGGAGUGCGGUAGGGGAGACUGGAAUUCCCGGUGUAACGGUGGAAUGUGUAGAUAUCG
rnacentral:rRNA from 1 species